AUUGAACGCUGGCGGCAUGCCUUACACAUGCAAGUCGAACGGCAGCACGGGUGCUUGCACCUGGUGGCGAGUGGCGAACGGGUGAGUAAUAUAUCGGAACGUACCUUAUUGUGGGGGAUAACGCAGCGAAAGCUGUGCUAAUACCGCAUAAUCCCUAAGGGGGAAAGCGGGGGACCGUAAGGCCUCGCGCAAUUAGAGCGGCCGAUACCUGAUUAGCUAGUUGGUGAGGUAAAGGCUCACCAAGGCAACGAUCAGGAGCUGGUCUGAGAGGACGAUCAGCCCCACUGGGCCUGAGACACGGCCCAGACUCCUACGGGAGGCAGCAGUGGGGAAUUUUGGACAAUGGGGGCAACCCUGAUCCAGCAAUGCCGCGUGAGUGAAGAAGGCCUUCGGGUUGUAAAGCUCUUUUGUCAGGGAAGAAACAGCAGCUCUAACACAGUUUGCGAAUGACGGUACCUGAAGAAUAAGCACCGGCUAACUACGUGCCAGCAGCCGCGGUAA
rnacentral:rRNA from 1 species